GUCAUGUACAUAUUAGUUUUAAUAUUAUUAAUUUUAUGAAUGUUAACAGUUACAUUGCAGUUUCAGGGAUAUCGUUUCAUAUUUGGAUAUUUAUGGAUAUGUGUAUAUUAACAGUCACUUUGCAUUGCAGGUAUAAUAUUUCUUAUUUAUAGUAAUGAAUGUUUUUUAUCAACAGGUCUGUUCAUUUUGAAACUGACUAUACUCAUCUUAAAGCAUGUCUAUUAAUAGCUAUGUAGUCAGUGCUAUUCUAGUUUAAUUAAGGGUGGUUAGGUAGGGUCAUUACAUUAUUAUGUGCCCUCAGUUGAUCCAAUCUGAUUGGAUCAUUCAAACUCUUGCCCUCUUUUACUAAUUCAAAUCUUCACUUCACUGUCACUGCUUGCACCGACAAGACGUUUAUCCAUGUUGGAAUAUCUACUUUAUAAGAUCACCACAGGUCAGUUUAAUCUUUUAUAUCAAUUAAUCAGUGUGUAUACCUUUAAAUGUUAUAUUGUUAAUGCUUAUGUGUAAAUAUAAACUGUAACUUGUGUGUAAGUGUAAAAGUUAGGUUUAGCUUGUUAGGGUCACUAAGCUAAAUUGCAAUCCAAUAAUCUUUUAGUAUCCAAAUAAAUGAUUCAGUUCAUUAAAGUGUUUUCUCUAUCUUAUGAGUGAAUGGUUAUAUAUUUGCACGUUUGACGGAUUAAUUUUAUAAAUGAGAGAAAGUAUAGUGUGUAUGUGAAUGUAAAUAUGACUGCGAUAUAAGUUUGAACUGCUUAUAUUAUAUCCUAGGUGUUUGAAGUGACAGAAUAUAUACAUAUAGUUUAAGCUAUUGCAGCUUUAACGUUGUUCAUUGUUUAUACAGAUUGUACGUACGCUUGACUGGCUUGGCGGCUUGACAGGGCUGUAAUCUGCACCCUAGUGCCAUACACCGGGGUGUUGUUAAUAUUGGAAUAAAAGGUCUCACCCCCGUAA